rnacentral:rRNA from 1 species
UACAGAGGGGGCAAGCGUUGUUCGGAAUUACUGGGCGUAAAGGGCGCGUAGGCGGCGUGUUAAGUCAGCUGUGAAAUCUCCAAGCUCAACUUGGAACGGCCAGCUGAUACUGAUGUGCUAGAGUGCAGAAGGGGCAAUCGGAAUUCUUGGUGUAGCGGUGAAAUGCGUAGAUAUCAAGAGGAACACCUGAGGUGAAGACGGGUUGCUGGGCUGACACUGACGCUGAGGCGCGAAAGCCAGGGGAGCAAACGGG